GGAGGGGUGGUAGAGCGGUCGAAUACACCGGUCUUGAAAACCGGCAGGGGCCCGCGCCCCUCGUGGGUUCGAAUCCCACCCCCUCCGCCA
rnacentral:tRNA from 1 species